GACAGAGGGUGCAAACGUUGUUCGGAAUUACUGGGCGUAAAGCGCGUGUAGGCUGCUUCGCAAGUCGGAUGUGAAAGCCCUGGGCUCAACCCAGGAAGUGCAUUCGAAACUGCAGAGCUGGAGUCCUGGAGAGGAAGGCGGAAUUCUCGGUGUAGAGGUGAAAUUCGUAGAUAUCGAGAGGAACACCGGUGGCGAGGGCGGCCUUCUGGACAGUGACUGACGCUGAGACGCGAAAGCGUGGGGAGCAAACAGG
rnacentral:rRNA from 1 species